rnacentral:sRNA from 1 species
UACUAUGAGGGUACAAAUACAAAUGCUA